rnacentral:rRNA from 1 species
UACGUAGGUGGCAAGCGUUGUCCGGAUUUAUUGGGCGUAAAGCGCUCGCAGGUGGUCCGCUGCGUCGCGCGUGAAAGACCCCGGCUCAACUGGGGAGUGUCGUGCGAUACGGGCGGACUGGAGGCCAGUAGGGGGAUGCUGAAUUCCGGGUGUAGUGGUGGAAUGCGUAGAGAUCGGGAGGGAUACCAGAGGCGAAGGCGACGAACUGGACAGUUACUGACACUAAACUACGAAGGCGUGGGGAGCAAACAGG